AGUGAACGCUGGCGGUAGGCCUAACACAUGCAAGUCGAACGGCAGCACAGUAAGAGCUUGCUCUUACGGGUGGCGAGUGGCGGACGGGUGAGGAAUACAUCGGAAUCUACUUUUUCGUGGGGGUUACGGAGGGAAAAUUAACGUAAUAACCGAUACGACCUAACGGGUAAAGGCAGGGAACCUUCGACCCUUGGGGGAUGGAUUGGGCGGAUGUCGGAUUAGCUAGUUGGCGGGGUAAAGGCCCACCAAGGCGACGAUCCGUAGCUGGUCUGAGAGGAUGAUCAGCCACACUGGAACUGAGACACGGUCCAGACUCCUACGGGAGGCAGCAGUGGGGAAUAUUGGACAAUGGGCGCAAGCCUGAUCCAGCCAUACCGCGUGGGUGAAGAAGGCCUUCGGGUUGUAAAGCCCUUUUGUUGGGAAAGAAAAGCAGCAGGUUAAUACCCCGCUGUUCUGACGGUACCCAAAGAAUAAGCACCGGCUAACUUCGUG
rnacentral:rRNA from 1 species